AGUAUGAUUUCAGGUCUGGCCUGCCCAUUGAGGAAUUAAAAGGCCGCGGUAUACUGACCGUGCAAAGGUAGCAUAAUCAUUAGUUUUUUAAUUGAAAGCUUGUAUGAAAGGUUUGAUGAAAAAGUAACUGUCUCUAGGAGAAUUUAAUAGAAUUUUAUUUUUAAGUGAGAAAGCUUAAAUUUUUAUAGAAGACGAGAAGACCCUAUAGAGUUUUAUAGACGGGCGGUAUCAGGGAUUAGGAAUUUUAGACUGGUACAAUAAAGUUUAUUUAGUUGGGGUGAUGGGAAAAUUAAGAUAACUUUUCUUUAUUUAGAUAUUGAUUUGUAGAUUUAUGAUCCUUGAUUUAAGAUUAUAAGAUAAAAUUACCUUAGGGAUAACAGCGUAAUUAUUUUUAGAGUUCUUAUCGAAAAAAUAGAUUGCGACCUCGAUGUUGGAUUAAAAUUAGCUAUUGGUGUAGAAGCUGUAGGGCUAGGUCUGUUCGACCUUAAAAAUUUUACAUGAUCUGAGUUUAGACCGGCGUGAG
rnacentral:rRNA from 1 species